rnacentral:rRNA from 1 species
UACGUAGGUGGCGAACGUUAUCCGGAGUGACUGGGUGUAAAGGGUCCGUAGGCGGGAGGACAAGUCUGACGUGAAAGCGCCCGGCUCAACUGGGCGAGUGCGUUGGAAACUGUCUUUCUUGACUCACGCAGAGGUCGGCGGAAUUCCCGGUGUAGUGGUGGAAUGCGUAGAGAUCGGGAGGAACCUCGAAAGCGAAGGCAGCCGACUAGGGGAUGAGUGACGCUGAGGGACGAAAGCGUGGGGAGCGAAC